CCUGGGGAGGAGAGGGGGACACGUGUUAGGGGCAAGGAGCGGGGGAUGUCACUCCCCGUGCCUCUUGAUCCCAACCGAUGCGAGUGUGCCACUGCAGGGGCCAAGGGGUAUCGCAAAACCCAGUUCCUGUAAAAAAGAUGUACUGGGAGAUUGGCUUCUGGCGUGACAGCAUGAGGAGCUCAGCUGGCCCGCUCCCCAGCAAACCCGAUGAAAAUCAUCAAAAAAACACAAAACCAUUUAAAGCCUCUGGAACUGGUCCUAAGAGGAAAUAGCAAAUGGAACAUCUGUUCAAGAAAAUCUGUGAAAACUCGGUAAGAAGGGCAAGAGUCUUUAGUGUUUGAACCAAGACCCCCGCGCGGCCCCCCAGCAAGGAGACUGUGCUCCAGAGGCUGCAGCGGGGACGCAUGGCUCCCGCCCCCAGCCCCCCGCCCGGGGCUUUCUUCCCAGGAGGAGUGGGACUCCAGCGUUGCUCGUCCUGCCCCCAGCUCCCUGCUGCUGGCUGAGUCCCAGCUCAGGGCAGCUGAGAAGAGGGGCGCCUUCUCUCGCCCAGCUCCACAGGUGGGGUGGAAUGGAGACUCUACCUGGUGGCGCACGGAGAACACUGGGGCCCCACAUCGCCCUUGCCCAGGCUUGUGAGGGUGGUUUCCCCAGGAGAGGCAAGCUAAAGGACCUCGGCCUGCUGCCUUCCCCUCCCUCCACAGAGCACUCAGCUCUGAGAAUGGGGAAUCACCAAGAAAGAGGCUUACUACUGUGCCCAUCCCCAUCCCCAAGCCCUGGUGCAGAGGUUUCACCUGGUGGCUGGGGGACGGAGGGGAUGGGGGGAGAAGCAGGCCGGAAGGCAGCUCCUGUUUUUUCCCAAAGAAACAGACUUCAUUUGCAACAGAAAGUGGUGAAGUCCAAACCCAAGAGUGCUUUCAAGAGCAGUGGCAGUUGUAGAAGGAAAAUGAGGAGAUUCACGGAUCUAAUGAAGACACAGCCUAGGCUGCAGGCUGGCUAGUUUGCAGGAAGAACUGGGGUAGAGGACAUCUGGAGGAGCCCUCCUGGGGUCAGAACAAAUACCGGACACUGGCCUCAGAAACUAUUCCAUCCCAAGAGCCACAGUUUGACUGGCUCAGUUAGUAGAGCAAUUUGUGCCUCAGGACAUUGCUGAAAACAACAGAGGAAUCAGCCAGCAAUUAGAGGAUUUCACAGCUGGGUGUGGUCAGGGAAAGAAAGAGAACCCUGCCCCAAGCACUGUCAUCCCAGGGUGACCGGGGGUGUCCCCAAGCUGGGCCUCCCUGGGGAGCAAUGGCAAGGGCUGAACGCUGUGUAUGUGUGUGUGUGAGGUGUGUGUAUAUGUGUGUGAGUGUGUGGUGGGAGGGGAGCAAGAAUAGACUUCACUAAAAUAAUCCGGCCAAUUUCUAAACAAACAAGUGAAUAGCAGUAAAAAGCCCUGAGUGGGGGGCAGCAUCAGGGUUGCUACAAUGGCUCAGGCAAAGAAACAGAAAAGCACGACCCAUCAUCAGAAAAAAAUAAGGCAACAGAAACUGCCUGUGAGAAUGACCAAGUGUCAGAUUUAACAGCAAAAGACUUCGAAAUAGCCAUUAUAAAUGUGUUCACAGAACUAGUGGAAAGCUUGAUUAAAGAGGUAAUGGAAGGCUUGAUAACAAUCCAUUGCAUCAAGUGAGAAUAUCAAUAAAGAGAAAAUUUUAAAAAGAACCAAAUGCAAAUUUGGGAGUUGAAAAUUAUAAUAACAAAUGAAAAACUCACUAGAGGAGCUCCAUGGUAGUUUUGAACUGGCAGAAGAAAGAAUCAGUGAACUUGAAGAUACGUUGAUAGAGAUUAUGCAGGCCAAAGAAGAGAGAGGGAGAAAAAUGAUGAGUCUCAGAAAAAUGUAGGGUACUGCUAGUCCACCAACAUGGGGAAAUGCAAGUACAGAGGAGAGGGGAGAGAAAGGAGAAAAAUGUUCCAGGAAGUAACAGCUGGAAACUUUCAAAUCUAUUGAAAAAUGAUAACCUACAAAUCAAUGAACUCCAGGAGGGGUAAACGUAAAGAGACCCACAGACACAUCACAGUAAAAAUGCGGGAAGUCAAAGGCAAGGAGAACAUCUGGAAAGCAGCAGAGAAAAUAACACGUCACUUGUGAGGCAACUCCAAUAAGAUAACAAACUGACUUCUAAGCAGAAACAGUGCAGGCCAGAAGACAGGGGAUAACAUAUUCAAAGUGCUCAGAAAAAAACCAUUUACCAAGAAUCCUAUAUGUAGCAAAGCUCUCAUUCAAAAAUAAAGGGGGAAAUGAAGACUUUUCCAGAUAGAUAAAACUGAGAGAAUUCGUUUCUAGGACACCAGCCUUACAGAAAAUCUGAAAGGAAGCUCUUCAGGCUGAAAGCAGGUGAUCUAGAACUGUCAUAACCUCGGAUUUGGCAAAGGAUUCUUAGAUAUGACACCCAAAGCACAAGCAACUGACAAGAGAUUUUCACAUAUUGAGGUAUGUGUGGUAACUAUUCGGGUUCAAAAUUGAUUCAAGAUCAAAACUUGAACUAAAAAGCCUGACUUCUGGCCUAUCAAACGUACAUUGUACAUCUGCUGUAACCAUUGAAAUAAAGAAUGCACUCUCUUAAGGUGAGAAUGGAUACUUCCCCUCCUAGCCCGAUUGCUAACAUUCUGUUGGUAAUGCCAGGAUUAGUCCCUUUCCCAAAGUCAGGGUCAUGUUGACCUGCUAAUCUGCAACUAAAUACCUCUUUGAAACUUUGAUGAAAAUGUAUCCAGGCUGUGUUUAAUGUAUGUUCUUUGUUCUACGAAGAUAUAAGACUACUGAAAACCAUGCUUCUCCAGAAUGCUUUCUAAGGCCUUCCGGGUUAUCAUCCUCAAUCUCGCUCAGGUAAACUCACUGUACUUUUCUUAUCUAUAGAAUGCUUAUUGGUUAUUUUGCAUCGAUAUUUCUUGGUGUACUGCAGCAGGAUUUCAGAGAAACCCACCGGAGACCACCUGGAACCAGUUUGAACAGGCACUUGGUACCAUGCGGGCCCAUCUGAACUUUGUUCAAAUACCACCAUCUCAAGGAUCUAAGUAUCUUAGUAAUGAUCUAUGUGUUCUCACAUUGGGUUGAGGCCUUUCCUUGCGGAAGAGUGAAGGCUUUAGCAGUAGGCAACUUAUUGGAAAGGGUAAUUCCUGUCUGGGGAAUUCCUACUGAGUUUUUCAGUGACUGGGGAGCUCAUCCCACCACACAAAUUAUUAAAUCUAUUUAUGGCAUUUGGCCAAUAAUGCAGCAUUUUAACUAACCAUAUAAUCAGAACUCACUUGGCAAAUCUUUCAGAAGCAUUCAGUCUCUGGUGGCCAAAAGCUCUUCCGCUAGUACUUGUCCAUCUUAGAGCUACACUGUAAACAUCGGCUGUCUCCUUUUGAAAUAAUAACAGGACAGUCUAUGCAAUUAGAUGAGGAAAUGUAUGAACCAACUUUGCUUAAGGGAGAUAUAUUACAUUGUUGCCAGGGUCUCAUGGAGGUGCUUAAAAGAAAUGAAAGAUUGCUAGCUGAUUCCUUUCACAGAGAGCUCCCAGGAGAUGAAGACCUUAAGGAUCAUGGACUAUAACCUGGAGAAUUUAUUUAUUGGAAGAGGCAUCAAAUAAAAUACUCUCUGCAGCCCCGUUGGAAAGAACCAUAGCAGAUAAUUUUAACCAUUCUGUACACUGCAAAAUUAAAGGGCAUAGACUCAUGGAUUCACAUUUCUCAUUAAAAAGCCUCCUCUGCCUGGGUAGAUUUCAACUCCUGUUUCUGACACCUGACUUUGACUGACCAAGACAAAUACCUCCAAACCAGGAUGAGAAGACGGCGGCAUCUGUUGUAGACAGCUGUCCCUAGCUUCCAGACCAGGCCUGUAUUCCCAACCUUAUAUCUCCUCAUUUAAACCCCUGUAAUGCUGAAACCAUAUAUCCAUUUUAUAAUUGUUCCAUUUAAGGUUUUCGAAUGCUAUUAUACUUAAAGAAAGUGGUUGGUUAGGAACACACUGGUCUUGAAGGCAGGCAUUUAUUGGAUGGCUCCUGGUGGAACUCAGUGGUUGUAUGGGACAAACCUCUGGCCUUGGCUGCCACCUGGGUGGUUGGGACGCUGCACCCUGGGUCCCCUGGACGCAGGGAAGGGUUUGCCCUGAGCUAACAUCUGUUGCCAGCUUCCUCUCCUUAAGGCCAGAUGGGCUCGCUCAGUGUUCCACUGGUAUGGCCACCCAGCGGCUAUAUUUGCUCCUUCUUUGGAGCUAGAAGAUGUCAUAUAUCACAUAUAGAAGCCCUGACUAAAUUUACUCAACAAGUCCUUAAUGAUAGUCAAGUAGGAAUAGCAUUAUCAAAUAGUGAACUGUCUUUAAUGAGAGAGGCUGCCCUUUAAAAUAAAAUGGCUUUAGAAAUUUUAACUGCAUCCCAAGGUGAUAUGCGUGUAAUCAUUAGGACUAAAUGCUGUGUUUUUAUCCCCAGUGAAUCUUCCAAUGUGCCCUCUCUGCUAAAGCGCGUGAAAAACCAGGUGAAAGCCCUAAGCAAUCCCACACCUAGUUGUGAUUUAUUUAGUUGGCUCCCUUCCGGAAUUGGCUCCCUUUUGCAACCCAGAUGGCAAUUCCUAUUUCUAUUACUCCUUGGAAUUCUUGUAUUAGUUAUAAUAUUCAAACUACUGUUUUCUUUACUCAGUGUUGUAAGACUGGCACGUAAGCUAGAGUAAUGAUUGCUUGGUGACUUGAGAUGGUCGAUCGAUCUUACAACCCUGGAUGAAUUUCCUUUUCUGAUAAAGACUAUACCUAAGAACUUAUUUUAAACUAAUCAUUUCAAGUAUUCAAUUAUCUAUUCUACAAUAGUCAUGAACAAUGUAACUAUAGGACGUCAUGUAAAAGCACAUGUAUGUUUGUGCAAUAGUCUAAAAAUAAUUGACAAAUUACAUAACCUACGAAAUGCUUCCUCUGUUGAUAUAUACCUCUACGCUUGUCCACUAUAUCUGACUAUUUCCCCCCAACGUGGAUAACUGGGCAAAUCAAUGACAUAAAAGCCCAUCACUGAGGGACAUGAUGGGCCCAGGGCAGGCAGGAGCCACCCUGGCACCGAGGGACAAUAUUUUGAUCAGCAAUGCUUUCUAUCGGAAGAUUAUUGCUCAAAAGGGAGAAAUGACAAGUACGUUCUUUGUUUUAAAAAGAUAUAAGACUGUACUGAAAACCAUGCUUCUCCAGAAUGCUUUCUAGGGCCUUCCAGGUUAUAACCCUUACCGUGGCUCAAGUAAAACUCACCUAUUUCUCUUCUCUAUACAAUGGUUACUGGUUAUUUUUUGUCGACACAACCAAGAUAAAAUAGAUGAAUUAAAUAUCAAAAUUAAAAACUUCUGUGCUUUAAAACUGUUAUGGCCUGAAUUGUUUCUCUUCAAAAUUCCUAUGUUGAAGUUCUAACUCCCAGCACCCAAGAAUGUGACUACAUUAGGAGAUGGGGUCUCUAAAGAGGUAAUUGAGGUAACAUGAGUUCAUGUGGGUGCCCUGAUCCAAUCUGACUCUCCUCAUAGGAAGAGGGGAUUAGGACACAGACUCACAGAGAGGGAUGAACCGUGUGAACACACAGGAGAAGACGCUGUCUACACAGCAAGGAGACAGGCCUUAGAGGAGACCAACCCUGCCAACACCUUCAUCUCGAACGUCCAGCCUCGGGAACUGUGAGAACAUGAGUUUCUCUUGUUUAAGCCACAUGGUCAGUGGUACUUGUUAUGGAGGCCGGAGCAGACUGACAGACACCAUCUGGAAAGUAAGACAACCCACAGAAUGGGAGAAAACAUUUUCAGGUCUUAUCUCUGGUAAGGGACUUGUAUCUAUGAAAUAUAAAGGAUUCUUACACCUCAAUAAUAAAAAGACAAACAACCACAUAUUAAAAUGGGCAAGGGAUCUGAAGAGACAUUUCUCUAAAGAAGUAUAUAAAAGAACAAGUAUAUGGAAAGAUGCUGAACAUCAUUAACCAUCAGGGAAACGCAAAUAAAAACAACCAUGAGAUCCCACCUCACACCCACGAGGAUGGCUAGAAAGAAAACUCAGAUGACAACAAGUGUUGGUGAGGAUGCAGAAAAAACGGAGCCCUCAUGAAAAAACACUGCUGAUGGGAACGUGAACCAAUCCAGUCAUUUUGGAAAACAGUCUGGCAGGUUCUCAAGUGACUAAACAUGGAGUUACCGCCGACCCAGCAGCUCUACUCCCAGGUGUGUGCCUGGGAGAAGUUAGCACAUAUGUCCACACAGAAACUUGUACAAGAAUGUUCACGGCAGCAUUAUGCAUAAGAGCCAAAAGGUGGAAACAAACCAAGCGUCCACCACUGACGAACGGAUAAACAAAAUGUGGCAGAUCCACACAAUGGGAUGUUAUUGGGCCGUAGAAAGGAGUGAGGCGCUGACACCUGCCAUACCACCAGUGGACCCUGAAGACAAUUCGAAGUGAAAGAAGCCGGUCACGAGAGACACAGGCUGUGCGGGUCUGUCCUCUGUGAGGCCCAGAGUAAGGACAUGCAUGGAGACAAAGUAGAAGUGGUUGCUCAGGGCUGGAGGGGAGCGGCUGCUAAGGGGCAGGGGUCUCCUUGGGUGACAGAACGUUCUAAACUUACAUUGCGGUGAUGGCUGCACAGCCCUGUGAACACACUGAAGGCCACUGAAUCCUGUACUCUACAGGGUGAGUCGUACGGCGUAUGAAUUAUAUAUCAGUAAAGCUAUUUUUAAAGAGACUGACCUCUAGGUGAAUCCCAGAGUGUGUGGCUGUUUGUGGACCAUGGGCGGGGACAGCAGGCCUGCCAAGGCCCCGGGUACCCCAGCAGGCGCUUGGGGCGGGGGCCUUGAGAGGAAAGAAGACAGAGAACAUGCAGACCUCUCCCAGCUGCCCAGCUGCUGGAGGGCCCUGGUCUGGCCAGGUCUCACCUUUAACCCUGAGCCCCCACCCAGCCUAAGUCCCUCCCCGGGCGACCUCUCUCAUGUCAAGGAACUGGAGAAACAUCAGAACACACCAGACAGCUGACGCCUGUCAUGCUCACUGCUCGAGUCUGGGCUCAGCCUCCCGGGUGCCUUGUGCCCACCUGGCUCAGGCCCAUCUGAGCAUCAAGGACACAGCCUCAUGCCAGUCCGGCUCCCUGAGCCCUCUCACCAGGUGAUAAAGCUUGGGGCUGGCAGAAGAGACCUUCCACCACCAGCAGACAGCACUUGAGAACCCAUCGGAUACUCCAGAUGGAGAACAGGUCAUGGUUCAGCCAUCAAUUGCAAAACCCGGCAAACAUCUGCAGCAUUGGUACUGAGGGCACCGAGGUGAGUGCGCCCACAGGCUGCUCCUGAGUCCUGUCUUGUAUGUUCAGGGCCAGACACUGAUGCAUCACCUGGUCUGCAAGGAAACCGGGCACACUUGGGUCCUGCAAGCCUCUCUCCAACCCGCACUUUCCAAGCCAGCCACUCUCUGUGUGUAUCGGGCGGAGCCCGGCCGUCCCAUUAGCGGCUGCCGGAGCCCAGUCCCUGGGCCUCUACAUUAAUCAUCAUCCUUGUGUGCUUGAAAUACUGGCCACCUGCUCACUCCCUCCAUGGUCCCUGGCACAAGGGUGGGCCCUGGGCAGGUGGGUCUCUUCUCAGAAAAGGUGAUGGGGCCUCCAGCCCAGAUGAAGGGGCCGCCGAGGCUGUGGGAGGAACUUCCGGUUUCCAGAUCCUCUCCUGGGGCACGUGGGUCACAGGUCAAGGGUCUUCAAUGGCCUGUCCUCCCGAGAGGCCUUGCGGGCCCCACGCCUCCCUGCCAGGUCAGCACUGUGUCGGCCAGGCCAGGGCCUUUCCAGGGGUCGCCCGGCCCAUCCCGGCUCGGGAGUGACAGCUCUCUCCAGGCGCUGACUGUGUCCCUUCCAGGAGCGUCCACACCUGUCUGUGCCCCUCACUGAAGGAGCAGCAGGGCUGCAGCCUGACUGGAGGGGCCCAGACUCUUUGGGACAGGUCUGUGGCAUGGCCUGGGUCCGAGAAUGUCGGUUUCAGCUCCGUGUGCGGUUCUGUGGUGUCUCCCAGCCCGUGUCCCUCUCUGUCAUGGGGGGAGGGCAGAGGCGGCUUGCUGUCAUCCUCGGGAUUAGGAUCUGCUGUGCAGGGAGGGGCCCCCACCCCGCCUGUGCCCCCUGAUGUGCUCUGCGCCCACACUGGCCUCUCAACCACUCCCACCUGCCGGCUCCCCCCAGCCAGAGCCAGUCCCGGGCACAGGCCAGGGUGCGACGGCAAGCGUGGCUUCCAGAAGGGCGCAGCAGCUCUUCCUCCUUCUCAACAGUGCCGAGGGAACCCGGGGAGGGUCGUGGCUGCUGGGCUCUGCUCCCCCUGUGGCAUCUGGCGACAGUCACAGACCCUAGGGGUAGGACACCUGGGAGUGAGGCCAGCGGGAGGACAGCCCACAGCCGGCGGGAGCAGCGGUUAGGGGCAGGGGCACAGCAUGGGUGCUGCCUCUCUCCCUUCCGGAAGGUUCCCUCUCUUAGGAUGCGUGUCCCAGGAAUCCCAGUGUGCAGAGCCUGGCACCAUCCGCAGCUUGCCGCUGAUGGUGGCCCAGACCUGAGGUGGAGGGGCCUUGGGGGAGGGUCUGGGCCUGGGCCCUGCCCCCCAGAAGAGUCUGACGACCUCAGCCCAAGGGUGUUCAGUGGCCCUGGGACUCACAGCCCCAAAAUCCACACAACGUCCCAUUCGGGGCUGAUCGCAGGCCCUGGGUCCCCAUCAUCUCAGCAUGGCAGGCAGCCCCAACCCAGCGCAGCUUCCAGCACCAUUUGGGUGGGCAGACGGGGAGAGGAGACCUCUAGGGGAGGGCCUUGCCCCACGCAUGAGGAGUGACCCCAAUGUGCCCGCCUGGAGCCCGCAGAUUUGGAAAGAGAUGGACCCCCCCCCCCCCCCCCGCCAUCUCCUUAAGGACCAGCCUGCAGGUUAAUGGGAGGAAGCUAUUUCUGGAACUUUCAACCCAGAAAACAGACCUCGAUUUAUCAUAAUUUGACACAUCUGGCCUAUUUGGCCAAAAUUGGUCAGAAAUAAAUCUAUGUUCAGCCUGGCUCACCCAGUUUUGAAGCCCCUGCCCUCUUUGGUCUCCUCUGGCUUUCUCUGGCAUUUCCCUGACAUUCACGUUUUUAAAUCAGGCCACGAGCAGCAGGUGGCCCUGAUGCAUUUGCCGUGGGUUAUCUGUGUGUGGCUGGCCUGGGUGAGUGACACGGGUGUGCCCGGUGGCCAUGGUGCUGGGCCUGGGGUCCAAGUGGUGGCUCCUCUGCCCGAGCUGCUUAGCUUCAGGAGGAGGCUCCUGGGGAUCACUCUGUGCCCCCACCCAGGACUGACCACUGGGGCUGGAUUGGGGGUCCUGCUGACGGCUUCUGCCUGUCUGCUGUUGGGGCCAAGGAGAGCUCUGGUCCUGGGUCCUGGGUCCCAGGUGGCAUGGAGAGGACAUGGAGAUCCCAGGACAGACACUUCUAGAGGGAGAGAACAUGGACCCCAAACUCUGCGAUGGGUCUGGCCUCGCUGGCUAGCAGUGGCAAAGCCCCACUUCCCUCCUUCCAGUGGGCGGGGCUGUCCCAGCCUGCCCUUCGUGUCCCCGUGGAAUUCCUAUGGGAAGGGAAGUGAGUGUGCUCACGUCUGCAGGAACGUGUGGGACCCAUCGCCCUCCCAUCCCAGAACAACAGCCCUGAACGUACCAGGAAGCCACACAAAUGUACACACCAGCCCGGAGCCAGGCAGGCAGCACCCGUGUCCCAGCUCUAGAACCUGCCCGCACUCCUGCUCAGAUAUCACAGCACUUCCUGCUCUGCACAGGAAAUAGGAGGUCAUAAUAAAGGGCAGCCCAGGAGCCAGAAUCCCCCUUAUGCCCGGUCCACCAUGCUGGGCCCUGAGCCCUGACCCGCCCGUCCUGGCCACCCCACCUCUAGCUGUCUGUGUGGGUGCCGGGGGCCGAGGAGGGAAGUAUCAACGUGAGGGGCUCCCCUGAGACGUCUCUGCAGCCCCACAGCUGGACCUGGUGCAGCUGGGCCAGCAGAUGCCAAGGGGCAGGGACAGGCCCUCUGCUCCCUCGGAGCUGGGGCACUGGGUUCUCAAUGGGGGUGCAAGUGCCAGGCUGGGGUGCAUAGGGAAGGAGGCCUCUGGAAGGAGGGCUGCCCAGAGGCGAGUCGGGUCCUGAGAGGUGGGGAGAAAAGGCAGGGGGAUCUUGGCACCGGGUGUUCAGGAGCUGGUCUCUGGGGAAGGGGACAGAGAGGUCGGCUUGUCCAGGGGACACUGGAGCCCUGGAGGCCGAAGGGGAGGCUGAGGGAGGUCAAGAAGGGGCAGGGAGGCCCACGGGAGGCGAGGGCCGAGCCUGCAGCAGUGCAGAGACCGAGGGAUGGGAGGAGUGGGGUUUUGGAAAUGGACACAUUAGGAAGUGGUGACCGACUAGGCUGGGGGGGCCAGGGGGCAGGACACAUGACCGUCUCCACCCAGACAGGCGAGGGGGUUCACUGGGACGGGCAGGACCCUGCAGAGUGGAAGUCCCACAGAAACGCCUGGGGUGGAUGCAGAUUUGUGCUGCUGCGCAGAAGGAUCAAGGCUGCGGAAAGACCCGGGAUGGCCUGGAGAAGGGUGGCCCCGAGGCCGUGGGUGGGGAGUUGAGGGGCAGAGCAGACGGGAGGAGCCCAGGCCCCAGGGCCCAGAGAAACGUGCGUUGGCGCGGGCUGGGAGACCCGCUGGACCCACUGCCAGGAAGCUCGGGAGGACAUCCGGAGAGGCGGGGUGUGGGGCAGCUUGGGGCUCCUUUCCCCUCAGGACAGCACGGAAGCUUCCAGCAAAGGCUUCCUUGAGCUGGUGAGGCCUGGAGUCUGUGAGCAGAGGUGAGUCGAGACUCUAGGAACAGAAGGGGGUCCACUGAAUGGGGAGAGGUCCCAGGAGGGGAGGAAAGAGCCCCCGGGGACGACCUCGUCAGGUCUGGGACAGGAGACCCGAAGCUGCAGUUGUGGGGUCUCCUGGGGAGGGGGCGGGCGGGGGCCUGGGAUGGCACACAGGCCGGCUCCAGGCUUCUGCCUGCAGGUCUGAAGGGAAGCCCUCACUCCCCUGCCCGCGCUGGAGGCAGAGCCCUCUCUGCAGACCGCAGCUCCCCACGCCCUCACUCUCCUGCCCCCAGGACUGUCCUGACGCUCCCGCAAGGCCCACGCCCGGCCCCAGGAGCACUGGUCCCCGGUGGCGUUAUGAAUGUUUGUCCCAAGGGCAAACACCCCUUCUUGGUCGAAGUACAUCAGACACUGUGUGCCCCACCCGAGUGGCAGCCCUGGGAUCCAGGAACCAACCUGCAAAGUCUGCAUAAGCAGCCCCAGCAGGCGCCUGAGCCUUGGGCUGUGGCCUCAGCUCCUUUCUUGUAAUUUGGUUUCUUUCUAGGAUGGGAACUGGACACCCUCUAAUUCCUGUGGCCCAAGAACCAAAGGUUGGCUGCCUCCACCGAAGUGGCUCAGUCAGCGAGUUCAGCUUGAGCUCAUUACAGACACACCUGUGAGGAUGGGGGAUGGCUGGCGGGGCCCACUGCUCCCACGUCCAGGCAUUGCCGAGCCGAAUGCCAAAGCUGGUGCCUCUCUUUAAACUGAUGCCAACUGACUUCAAAGCGGAACCAGCCUUGCUCUCCUGGAGAGCUCCACUUGGUCCCAACACGUGGGCCUCCCCACAUGCUGCUGUGCUUGAUUGACUAGUGCGCAUGGAGGAGUUUGCAUCUCUCUUCUUGACAGAUACUGGUCUGUAUAUUUUUUCUCCUAAAGCCUUUGUUUGGUUUGGUACCAGGAUCAUAUUGGUCUCAUAAAUGAGUUGGGAAGUGUCCCCUCCUCUUCUAUUUUCUGGAAGAGAUUGUGUAGAAAUGCUUUUUCUUCCUUAAAUUUUUGCUAGAAUUCAUGAGUGAAACCAUCUGAGACUGGAGUUUUGUUUUUGGAAGGUUUUAAACUAUGAAUUAAAUUUCUGUAAUAAGCGCAGGAUUAUUCAGGUUAUCCAAUUCUUCUUGAGCGCGUUUUAGUGAUUGAACAUGUCUUUAAUUUUUGUUUUGCAAAAGUAACACAUGCAUAUAUAGUUUUUUAAAAACUCCAUUAAUAAUAAAAGGCUUAUAGGAAAAAACAGUAUUCCUACCCCCCACUCAUUUCCCGGAUGCAAGUUGUCAAUUUUUAGUAGUUUCUUCUAAUAGUUACUUCCAUACUUUUAAAUAACAUGCUCGUCUGACUAUUGACAUGAUAAUUUUAUGUUUCCACUGACUGUCGUUGAGGCCUGGCUCUCACAUACUUCACCUCGCCGCCCCUACACGUCGGUUACUACUUUCCUCCAAACAUAGUUAUUCACGUUGUGGGGAAAGUCAGUAAUUAUUAAGACAAGGUGAAUACUGGUCACUGCUGAGUCAGGUCGUGGUCUAAAAAUCACUUUUUUUUUUUCCUCAUAAAAUGUUUUGUUUUUACUGAAGUUUUAUGGCUGCAUUCUAAAACUGCGCAGCUUGCUAUGAAUAUGGUGCAUUUUUUCCAAAUGCUCCAGCACAACAGAGUUGAUGAGUGUGUUUCCUCUCUGGUCCGCCCCCCCACGGGGACCCCUGCCCUCAUGUGCAGGUGGAGGGGCGGCUUCCCUUUGCUCCCCUUGAUUUGGGCUCCGUGGAGUCUGUGUGCCCCCUCUUUGGUUCACUCAUCGUUCUGCUGAAGCACGUCCUCCAGUAGCUUCCUGCGGAAAGGUGCCUGGGAGGGAAGCCUGUGCAUGGCUAGGAGGUCUUUGUUCUGCCUCCAAGCUUGCCUGCAUGAUGGCCUGACACAGUGAUGGUAGAAAUUCAUUCCCACUCAGGAUUUGAAGGGGUUGCCCCAUUAUAUCCAAGCUUUGCUGCUGAAGUUUCAAUUCACAAGAAGGUGCAUAAAUCAUAAGUCAGGGCAUUUCCAAACUGAAUGGACCCACAGGACCAGCACAAAGAUCAGAACUAGAAUGCCACCAGCCCGGCCACCCCAGGGCCCACCAUCCUGAAGACCAAGGCUGCCGUGACCGUUCACCCUUCCUACGUGACCUUGUAUUUCCCUUGCUCCCCAAAGCUUCCAGGAAUCCCCUUUCCCUCGAGUUUCAUGGUGAGGAGCCCAGUGUGGGCGCAUCUUCAUCCACUGUGCAGGGUGCCCGUCAGUGCGAGACCUGCGUGCCAGGAUCCUGAGACCCGAGGCCCAGCAGGCUCCCCUCAGCUGUCCCUGCUGGAAUCUGCUCCGUGAGGGACGUCCUUCCUGCCUCCAUGUUCCCACCCCACCUCCCCCCGUUCUCUUGGCAUCUAAUCCUCCAGACAUGCACCAGGUCCUGUUGAUCCAGGCAGUGCCGCUCCCAGUUCCCAACUGCGCCCCUCCAUCCUUGACUCGCUUCCACAGCGUCUUGUUCGUUUUGUGACACAACACCCCCUCCUGCCCUCUGGGGGCACCGAUGACAAUUCUUGAGCAUCUCUGUUUCCUGUUCAGGGCUUCUCUCCUCCAAGCCCCGUCUCACCCUUCCUUUCGUGUUAUCCCUACUUGUCUCAAGUCUCAACUUGUUUCAAGUUUCCCUACUUGUCUCCUUUCCUAUGAGGGGGGCCAGGCCUCAAGCAGAUGACCAGAUGGGGCUGGGCCUUUGUCAGGACCCUGAUGCCGGCAGGCAGCUUCUCCCCGAGGAGCUCAGGUCCUCCAGAGACGGGCCCCAGGCUCCUGCAGGCAGGGGUCAGGGGUGGAGGCGUCCUGGAUGGGGGAGGUAUGCAGCAGGUUCUCCCACAAUACCUGUUGCAGCCCCGGCACCCCACAGCCCUCUGUGGUAUUUGCACCCCCAAAUCCUGUUCACAGGCCUCAGGCUUCCUGGGGCAGGAAGGUGGCCGGAAGCUGUAUAGUUGGGGCAGCAGGAGCGGGCUCAUCUCCCACGUGCCCCACUCCCCGUCCUCAGCCUUUGUCCCCCAACAGCUGUGUGCUGCCCGAAGUCUGCAGAGCGGCCCACGUUCAGGGAUCCAGGCUGCAGCACAGCAGGUGGGCUGGGUGGGAGACAGGAGACUCGGAGGGUGCUCGGGACGCCGCCCAGCCACAGCGAGGCACCGUCCACGCCAGGGAGAGAGGAGCACAGGUGCAGGCAGGCUGGCUCCGAGACCAGGGACAGUGACAGCUGGUCCAUGCCAACUUCUGGAAACCAAGAGGUCUUGGAAACCAUUCUCAGGAGCAUAGCCUCCACAGCACGGUGUUCACUCAGUGCUGGCCCUGUUCUUAUUUUCUAGGGAAAUAAACAGGAGCACCAGGCCAUGGUCUUCGGUGACAGAGGCUGUAGGUGGUCAGCAGCGCGAUGUCGGGAAAGGCCUGACCCAGGGUGGGCUUCCAUCCCCGGCUCUGUUCCCGUCUCAGAGCAUCACACAUUCAGUGGCAUUAGCCCUUCCAGGGAGUGCUGCUGGUUCUGAUACACUGUGCGCCGUUACUCUCGGUAGAUUAAAGUGAAGUAUACGCAUGAGGAGAUGAAGUAAAGGCCGUGGGUGGAUUUGCCUCUGCACGCUGCACAGCCAGGGCGCCCACUGGGCUCCCAGCAGAGCCCCGUCCCCCGGGUGGGGGGUCUGAGCACAGCAAGCGUCUUCAUCAGAGGCCCCAAGGCUGGCAGGCUCCUCACACUUGUCUACUAUGUGAUUAAGUUCCCAAAAUGCUCACGUCCCUCUGCUGCCUGUGAUUCUCUGGACACUGACGCCCAUCCCUCCAUCGACCCAUCAUGGACCUUGUGUAGCUGGCAAAAUCAUCCAGGGAAGCUGCUGUCCUCAGUGGGCAGGAAAUUCAGCAGUUCCACUCUGUUCACAGACUGGACGCAUGAAGGAUAAUCCUAUAAAAAGGACUUAGCGUCGAUAACUUAUUUACUCAUUCACUAACCACAGUGUGCAGUGUUUAUCUUUAGCUUCCCAUAAGUACCUGAAAGAAAACCCUUAUUAACUCAUUCAUUAACUAUGAAUUUAUAAUAAUUUGACUUUGAACUGAACUGAGGUUUAUUUUUUCCAAGUAUCUAUGGAAAAAGGCUCUUGUAGUGCCAGUGGAGGAGGAGAAGGAACAUUAAAUCCACUUAACAGAACAAAUUGUUUAAAAAUAGCCAACAGUCAUUUGCAUGGAAAUGAUGAAUGCACUCGUUUCAGAUUAUCUGCCCUGAAGCAGGGCUGUCAAUUCCCUUUCCUGUCAACACUCUGAGGACUGGUUUCAGGCUGUCCUAUAUAACGAAGUGGAGACAACUUCAUUACAAGGUGCCCUGCUCUGCCCUCCCCUGGUUGGAACUGGCCUGGUCUUCCAAAGGCCCCAGCGCAGCGUCUGCUGGUUCUCCUGUGAGCGAUGUCCUGCCUGGAUGCGGUGAGCUGUCUUCAAGAACGAGUAGGCACCGACUACCGCCAGCAUCUUACAUGUUGGUGUGCUGAGAAGUGAAUGAGGCUGCGUGGUCCCCACAGCUGUGAACACGCGUGCACCACUGAGAUUCAUUCAUUCACUCAACUAGCUUUGCUGAGCACAUGCAUUGGGCCAGGAACUGUGCUGGGGCCUCUGGGGUCCCUGCCCUCAGGCCCUGACGUCCUCGAAGGAGUGACUGACACGAGCCGUGUACAGACACAGAGGAACAAGACAGUUACAGAUGGCAACCCCUCUCAUGAAUAAAUAAGGAGGGUGUCCAUCUCAGGAGAGAAUGUUCCAGAUCAUGAAUCUGAAUUCUACUUGAGUCACAGAAAGGCAGGGCAAGACCAUAAACUGCGGAGCUCCGUGCCUCUCUGCACAGCAAGGCCACCUGCUUUCCGGCCCCACAACCCUGGGCAGGAAGCCCAGUGGUGCCGACCAGGAAGGGCCUUGGCACCUCGGCUUCUGUGCUGGGGGCUGAGGGGAGCUGCUUUCUGAUUGGGUUCAGCAGGAAGUGACUUUUUCCAAGCAAGGAGCACCUCCCCGGCAACUGCAUCAGAGCCUGCAGCAGCCGGAGGGCCAGGGAGCACUGCCCCUGGGGGCUCUGAACACCCCAGCACCUCACAAGCCAGCAGGCUGUGCAUCCACAGGAUGAGCCAAGGUUUCCUGCGGGACCACGGCGCGGCCAACGCUGAACGGACAUCCUUGGGCAAGUUCACGAGCAAAGAUCCAGUCCUGCAAAACCCAGGGGGGCAGGGCCUGUGGACAACAGCAGCCUCACUGGCUGGCCCCACUGUGCUCACUUGGGGUGCUCCAAUGUGUGCGCGUCAGAACACUGUCGAAGAGUCUCAGUACGACAUAAGGUUCUUUAUGAAUUCUCCUUGACGAACUCUGCCUUGGCAGGUCCACGCACUGCACUUACACAUACACGUCACACCAGCUCUGCCACCGCCAACACCGCCAGCCCCGGGGGGCUCAGUGAGUCCCUGCCAGCCCCUCACAUCCUGUUUGCUCUCGGGUUCUGCACUAGAGCAGAGAAAUUCCACACUCAGUAAUUUUCAUCUCUGCGUGAUGCAGCUAUUUACAAAAGUGCAGGAAAGCAUUUUAAAGGUCAUCUUUAAAUAAAAAAUGAAUAUUUUCCGGUCCCUUCUCAUGUCCCUCAGCCCGCUACCCAGGAAGCCCCACGCCAGGCCCCACGGGCUCCUGCACUCACGAAACAGACGGAAUAUGCACCGACACCACCCAGUGUCAAUGUCUCCUGUCUCAAGGUGAACACUGUCUGCAGCCUGAACGCAUUCAGAGCUUUCUGUGUCUUCACCGUCAGCCCCUUCCCUGGGCUCAGUCCAGACACUGUCUGUCCCCCUCCCCACGUGUGGGGCAACAGGCUCCCACCCACCGACUCCUCCAGCGACCACAAGCCCACCUCCAACUCGAGCCACGACCAUUCCACAUUUCUGCUCCGCUUUAGUGCCUGUUCAGGAAUGGCCCCCGAGUGCAGCUGGUAGAGCUCACGCUGCCACCCGCGAGGACCUGCUCUGCCUCCCUGGGCUCUGGUCCUCGUGGAGCCCCAGGCAGGGCCUCCUCACAGGACCUGGAGUCACUGCUGUGUCCUCGUUCACAGGAUUAAGAAUUUCAGGACCGUGACAGCCGAGCACUAAGGAAGCAGGGGCUGUCCGCGCAAGGAGCCCGCAGCCUCGGAUGCCCUGAGGCCUGCCUGUGCCUCCUCAUCUGUCUCCUCGGGCCUGAGAGCAGGCGCCCAACGUGCCUGUGACCCGGGCCUCAGAGAGACGGCCAGAGGGACAGAACAUCUGCAGGACGCCACCUGGGAAGAGGCAGAGAGGCAGGGAGCCUCCCGAGCACAAGCCGCUUCCUGCCACGCUGACGAGCAAUUUCCAGUCAACAGGCUUCUCAAAGUUAAUUUCCAUCCCUCUACGGGUAAUUUCACCAGAUGCGUGACUCCUGUCAGCACCGCUCGCGCAUUCCCGUGGGAGCUGGCUCAGAGCUCUGAUCCUCACGUUCUUGCCCACGCAGCUCGCCUCCCUGUGGGUCCCUGGCAGGGCCCAGGGCAGGGGACAGACCCUCAGCCAGCAGCCAGGAGCUUCCCAGCCCCGCCCAAGGGAGGAGCCGCGAGCUGGCUUUUUCUCUUCUUGAAUACAGUUACUCUGCAGUCCAUGUCUGCAAUUCCAGCAUUCAAAGUCCCAUGGAUCUGCUUCAGCCUUCCUUCCUUCUCCGGACUGGUAUUCACGGUGGCGUGCCUCUCCGGCACCUGUCUCUUUGACUGAGUGCUGAAAACUGCUUUUGAGAAAAAAUAAAGUAAACAAAUACAUAUAUAAAUAAAUAUUUAAAAGCUGCAAAGAAUUUUAGUCUUAUUUGACUCUUUAUAGUAAGACAUUUAUGUCUUCAAGUUUUUACCAUUGUUUUGUUUUGUUUUUUGCUGAGGAAGGUUGGCCCUGAGCUAACAUCUGUGCCAGUCUUCUUCUAUUUUGUAUGCCGUAUGUUGCCACAGCAUAGCUCACGAGUGGUGUAGGUCCGUACCCAGGAACCGAAUCCGGGCUGCUGAGGUAGAGUGUUCCAAACUUAACCACUAGGCCAUGGGACUGGCCCUUGUUUUCACCAUUUUAUAAGCAACAGUUCACAGAAACAUGCAAUUCCAAUGAUCUCUUGGAGUAAAUUCCCAGAAGUGGAUUUCCUAAGUCAAGUGGAAGCGUGUUUGAUACCUGGGUAGACGUCUCCACAUUGGCCUCCUCUUCAGACUCCCUUCAACAAUACACGGAAGGGCUCAUGUCUAAACACCCUCGCAGGCACGGGUGUGGUCAGUUAUUCUAGUCUUUGCGAACAGGGUAAGUAAGAUGCUGUCUCCUUGUUUAAAUGUGCAUCUCUCUGAUCAUAAAGGAAACAUCUUUUCCUAUGUUUUGCCAUUACUCAUCCUCUUUAAUUUCUGGCUCAUAUCUUAGCCCUCCUUUGUACUGAGAUGCCAUUAUUUUCUUAUAAAUGUUUGAAUUUCCUCUAUAUGAAGGAUAUUAGCCCUUGGUCAUAUACACUGCAAUUUUAUUCUUAGAUUUCAGUUCUUUACUGUUUAAAUUGGGGAAGUGGAGGCUUUCAUUAAUUUUAUUUUUUUUAAGAUAUAUGGACUCUAGGUCAUUUUAUUUAUGCUUUAUUUUCAGAAGAAUAAACUCCAUGAUUGAAAAUUA